UGUUUUUAUCAGUGCUUUGAAAGAGAAAGUCUGGGGAGAUCUGGAGAAACGAUAUCAGGAUGAAGACAUUAAGAACUUCCUCCAGGAGGCCACUUUGAUGGACCCUCGCUUCAAAGGUAAACUUGGAUGUGCUGUUGCUGCUGAUGCUUGGGGCCGGUUGGAGAAAGCAGCAGUUUGCAAUGUAACAGAACAGCUUCCAAUGGAGGUCCUUCAGGAUCACAACAUUGAGGAAGAUAGAUUGGAUGACCAUCAGGAGGAC